rnacentral:snRNA from 1 species
GUGCUCGUUUUAGCAGCACAUAUACUAAAAUAGGAACAAUACAGAGAAAAUUAGUAUGGCCCCUAUGCAAGGAUGACAUGCAAAUUCGUGGAGUGUUCCAUAUAAUU